CCCUUAGAUGUUCUGGGCCGCACGCGUGCUACACUGAUGCAUUCAACGAGUCUAAAACCUGGUCUGAUAGGGCUGGGUAAUCUUUUGAAAGUGCAUCGUGAUUGGGAUAGAUGAUUGCAAUUCUUCAUCUUCAACGAGGAAUGCCUAGUAAACGCAAGUCAUCAGCUUGCAUUGAUUACGUCCCUGCCCUUUGUACACACCGCCCGUCGCUCCUACCGAUUGAAUGAUCCGAUGAAUAUCAUGGGUUGAGAGUACGAAUGGGUUCGCUCAUUUCUGCUGCUCGAGAAGUGAAGUAAAUCUUAUCAUUUAGAGGAAGGAGAAGUCGUAACA
rnacentral:rRNA from 1 species